rnacentral:lncRNA from 1 species
AAGUGAUUGGGAAGCUCAGCGGAGGCGAGUCCGAAAGGAGUCAUUUCUCCCUGGAGAUGCACAAGGGCGUGCAGCACGGGGAGGAAGUAGGAGGCUAUUCCCUCGAGUACGGUUCCGUGCAGGUCCCAAGAUUCCCCCCAGGAAAAGCUUUGACUAGCCGACUGUGAUGAGACGUGGUCACCAGACCACAGUCCGCGGGGAGGCAGCGCGUGGGUUUUGAGAGCAUGAAGCUUCCGUGUUAAAUGACAUAACCGACCACACCUCCUUGAAAAGCCAGGCUUAAUUGGCACAAUAAAAAUUGUAAUUCGUUCAUGCA